rnacentral:rRNA from 1 species
GAUGAACGCUGGCGGCGUGCCUAAUACAUGCAAGUCGAACGCUUCACUUCGGUGAAGAGUGGCGAACGGGUGAGUAAUACAUAAGUAACCUGGCAUCUACAGGGGGAUAACUGAUGGAAACGUCAGCUAAGACCGCAUAGGUGUAGAGAUCGCAUGAACUCUAUAUGAAAAGUGCUACGGGACUGGUAGAUGAUGGACUUAUGGCGCAUUAGCUUGUUGGUAGGGUAACGGCCUACCAAGGCGACGAUGCGUAGCCGACCUGAGAGGGUGACCGGCCACACUGGGACUGAGACACGGCCCAGACUCCUACGGGAGGCAGCAGUAGGGAAUUUUCGGCAAUGGGGGAAACCCUGACCGAGCAACGCCGCGUGAAGGAAGAAGUAAUUCGUUAUGUAAACUUCUGUCAUAGAGGGAGAACGGUGGAUAUAGGGAAUGAUAUCCAAGUGACGGUACUCUAUAAGAAAGC